CCAUGACAAAUCUAGGUUAUUUUUCUGCAAAGAUAUUUUGCAGGCCUGGAUUGAAAGUCAAAUGGAGCUUCAAAGUGUACCAAGUUCAAAGUGUUUUCAUGGUCUUUGAUGAGAGGCGGUGCAUUCAUCCGAUCCGACGGGCGGCUUGGCAUCGGGCAACGGGGGCUGGCAUGCAGACGGGCCUCCGUGGAGUCCAGGCUGCUUCCCUGGGGAGGCAGGAUGCACUGAGCAUGAUCCUUGGAUUUCCAACCUGCUGUUGCAACUUCCUAUCAGAGCUCCUCUUGCCAGGAACAAAGCGACAGCCGUCUGCUGGUGAGCUGGGCUAAUCCUGUUAAACAAUUCACAGAUCUGACGCCGGACACGCUUUUUGAAACCUGAGGGAAAGGAGAUACAGUCAUGGAGGGAAGAUGGCCAUGUGAAGAAGGCAGAGAUUGGAGUGUUGUUGCCACAAGCUGAGGAAUGUCUGGAGCUGCAGGAGCCCGGAGGAAGCCGGGAAGCAUCCUUCCCUAGUGCCUGCAGAGGGAGCCUGGCCAGCCGACACAUUGAUUUCUGACUUCUGGCCUCCAGAGCUGCGAGCUACUCAGUUUCUGUUGUUUUCAGCCACCCAGUUGUGGUGACUUGCUGCGGUAGCCCCCAGAGACCAGGACGCCAGCCCAGGGAUGAGGGUGCUGGUCCUGGGGGUGUCAAUGCACUGGCACAUCCCGCUUGACCCUGGAGUGGCCAGAGAAAGCCCUGGGCAGAGGUGUGGGCAGAGGUGGCAGGUGUGGGCAGAGGUGGCAGGUGCUGGCAGAGGUGGCAGGUGUUGCGGGAAGUCAGGGACCCCGAACGGAGGGAUGGGCUGAAGCCGUGGCAGAAGAACAUAAAUUGUGAAGAUUUCAUGGACAUUUAUUAGUUCCCCAAAUUAAUACUUUUAUAAUUUCUUACGCCUGUCUUUACUGCAAUCUCUGAAUAUAAAUUGUGAAGAUUUCAUGGACACUUAUCACUUCCCCAGUCAAUACUCUUGUGAUUUCCUAUGCCUGUCUUUGCUUUAACCUCUUAAUUCCGUCAUUUUCAUAAGCUGAGGACGUAUGUCACCUUAGGACCCUGUGAUGAUUGCAUUAACUGCACAAAUUGUUUAAACAAUUUGAAAUCUGGGCAUCUUGAAAAAAGAACAGGGUAAGAGCGAUGUUCAGGGAACAAGGGAGGUAACCUUAAAGUCUGGCUGCCUGUGGGCUGGGUGGGACAGAGCCAUAUUUCUCUUAUUACUGAAAACGGGUAAGAGAAAUAUCGCUGAAUUCUUUCCCCAGUGAGGAAUAUUAAUAAUUAACAGCCCUGGGAAAAGAAUGCAUUCCCAGGGUGGGGCCUCUGAAAUGGCCGCUCUGGGGGUGUCUGCCUUAUGCAGAUGUAGAUAGGGAUGAAACAUGCCCUAGUCUCCGGCAGCGCCCCCAGGCUUGCUAGGAUUAGGAAAUUCCAGCCUGGCAAAUUCUAGUCAGACCUGUUUUCUGCUCUUGAACCCUGACAAUGCGUGCACAGCGGGACAUGGAAGUUCAUUAGUGGAUUCUAGUUUCGCCCUGACCUUCUGCCUUGUGAUCUUUUGUCGCCCUUGAAGCAUGUGAUCCCUGUGACCCACACCGUAUCCGUGCACUCCCUCCCCUUUUGAAAAUCACUAAUAAAAACUUGCUGGUUUUGCGGCUUGUGGGGCAUCACGGAACCUGCCGACAUGUGAUGUCUCCCCCGGAUGCCCAGCUUUAAAAUUUCUCUCUUUUGUACUCUGUCCCUUUAUUUCUCAGACUGGCCGACACUUAGGGAAAAUAGAAAAGGAACUAUGUGAAAUAUCGGGGGUGAAUUUCCCCCGAUAGGCAGGUGCUGGCAGGGGGCAGGUACGGGCAGAGAUAGCAAGUUUGGGCAGAGGUGGCAGGUGCGGGAAGAGGCGGCAGGUGCGGGAAGAAGCGGCAGGCAGGAGCAUGGUUAGAAAUGUGAGCCCCUCAGGCAAGACUGAGAAUGAUAACAGAGCUGACUUCUGGGGAGGAGCGAGCGCAUGCUGGAUCCUUCGCCAAACAUAUAAAUUGGCAAGUGCUUCCUAUUCAUUUUCACAUCCGACCCACACGACACUCCUGGGAAGCAGAAGCCCCAUUUUAGAGAUGGGAAAACUGAGUCUGUGCACCAUGCACAGGGGACUCAGCAGCUCAGAGGCAGAGCCCAGAUUCGCACCCAGGCGGUCUGAGCCCAUAGGGUGCUCUGCUUCCUCUCUACAGAGCACUCUCGCUUCUGCCUCCGAGGGUGGAGCCCAGGGUGCGGGGAACCAUCCCACAGCACAUGAGAUGGCCCCACCACGAAGGGCUCUCACCCCCAGGGUGCA
rnacentral:lncRNA from 10 species